GGACGAACCGCUGGCGGGCGUGCCUAAACACAUGCAAGUCGAACCGGGGUCCAUGAGAGCUUGCUCUCGGAAGACCUAGUGGCGAACGGGUGAGUAACACGUGAGAAACCUGCCUUGGAGUGGGGAAUAACUCGAGGAAACCCGAGCUAAUCCCGCAUACCUUCUCUUGACCGCAUGGUCAGUUGAAGAAAGAAUUUCGCUCCAAGAGGGUCUCGCGGCCUAUCAGUUUGUUGGUGGGGUAACGGCCUACCAAGACUACGACGGGUAGCUGGUUUGAGAGAACGAUCAGCCACACUGGAACUGAGACACGGUCCAGACUCCUACGGGAGGCAGCAGUGGGGAAUCUUGCGCAAUGGGCGAAAGCCUGACGCAGCAACGCCGCGUGCGGGAUGAAGGCCUUCGUGGUUGUAAACCGCUUUCAGCAGGGACGAAAAUGACGGUACCUGCAGAAGAAGCCCCGGCUAACUACGUGCCAGCAGCCGCGGUAAUACGUAGGGGGCAAGCGUUGUCCGGAAUCAUUGGGCGUAAAGAGCUCGUAGGCGGUUCAGUAAGUCAGGUGUGAAAGCUCCGAGCUCAACUCGGAGAGGCCACCUGAUACUGCUGUGAAAGGAAUCCAGUAGGGGAGUGUGGAACUCCUGGUGUA
rnacentral:rRNA from 1 species